rnacentral:lncRNA from 1 species
GCAUUGAUAAGAAUAAAGAAGGCUUUUAUCUUGCCUCUAUAUAUAUUUUUUAACUAGGAGCUAUAUGGAAAAAUUCUAUAGGACCACCAAUACAUGUUUUCUUUAUUAAGCACAUGUUUUAACUUGUAAGACAAGUUAUCUAUAUAUAAGCCACAUAGUUAACUUAUUCCACAAGCUAUCAACAUAUAUGACAUAUUGUCACGGACACAAAAUACAGACUUGAAAUCUAACAAGAAGUUCAAGAAGAAGUGGCAGAACUAGAUUAAAUAGAUGAGUACAAGAACAAUACCAGAAAGGUGAGCUAGAACUCCAAG